rnacentral:rRNA from 1 species
UCCGGUUGAUCCCGCCGGACCUUACUGCUAUCGGGGUGGGACUAAGACAUGCGAGUCGAGCGUCUCUAGCUAUGUUGAGACGCGGCAGACGGCUCAGUAACACGUGGCUAACCUACCCUCAGGACGAGGAUAAACCCGGGAAACUGGGGCUAAUACUCGAUAGGUGAGUAUGUCUGGAAUGAUUUCUCACUCAAAGGGCCUUGGAAACAUGCUUCCAUUGUCGCCUGGGGAUGGGGCCGCGUCCGAUCAGGUUGUUGGUGAGGUAAUGGCUCACCAAGCCUAUAACCGGUACGGGCCGUGAGAGCGGUAGCCUGGAGAUGGGUACUGAGACAAGGACCCAGGCCCUACGGGGCGCAGCAGUCGCGAAAACUCCGCAAUGCACGAAAGUGUGACGGGGCUACCCCGAGUGCCAUCCGCUGAGGAUGGCUUUUCCUUGGUAUAACUCGCCGGGGGAAUAAGGAGAGGGCAAGACUGGUGUCAGCCGCCGCGGUAAUACCAGCUCUCCGAGUGGUAGGGAUGAUUAUUGGGCCUAAAGCGUCCGUAGCCGGCUUAGCAAGUCUCCUGUUAAAUUCAGCGACCUAAUCGUUGAGCCGCGGGAGAUACUACUAGGCUAGGAGGCGGGAGAGGUCGACGGUAUUUCUGGGGUAGGGGUGAAAUCCUAUAAUCCCGGGAGGACCACCAGUGGCGAAGGCUGUCGACUAGAACGCGCUCGACGGUGAGGGACGAAAGCUGGGGGAGCGAACCGGAUUAGAUACCCGGGUAGUCCCAGCCGUAAACGAUGCGGGCUAGGUGUUGGGGUGGCUACGUGCCACUUCAGUGCCGCAGGGAAGCCAUUAAGCCCGCCGCCUGGGGAGUACGGCCGCAAGGCUGAAACUUAAAGGAAUUGGCGGGGGAGCACCACAAGGCGUGAAGCUUGCGGUUCAAUUGGAUUCAACGCCGGG